GUACACGCUGUGACUAGCAUAUCAAUAACGGAGGAAAAGAAACUAACAAGGAUUCCCUCAGUAACGGCGAGUGAAGCGGGAAGAGCUCAAAUUUGAAAUCUUCAAGGUUUUACCUUGACGAAUUGUAGUUUAAAGAAGUGUUUUCUGCUGAAGUUUUGGUAAAAGUUCUUUGGAAUAGGACAUCAUAGAGGGUGAGAAUCCCGUAUUUGACCAUUAUUUUCAGCUUUGUGAUACACUUUCAAAGAGUCGGAUUGUUUGGGAAUGCAGUCCAAAAUGGGUGGUAAAUUUCAUUCUAAAGGCUAAAUAUUGGCGAGAGACCGAUAGCGAACAAGUACCGUGAGGGAAAGAUGAAAAGAACUUUGAAAAGAGAGUUAAAUAGUACGUGAAAUUGUCAAAAGGGAAGCGUUUAACACCAGUGUUGUUUUCUGAAAAUCAACCACUGUUAGCUUUAGUGCAUGUUUGUUUAGACCUAAUCAGCUAUCUUGCAUGUUCUAUUGUUUGCAGUGGUGCACUUUUCAGUUUACAGGUCAACAUCAGUUUUUUUUACCGUAAAAAAGUUAAAGAAAGGUAGCUCAUGGCUCCGGUCGUGAGUGCUAUAGUCUUUUUCCUAUGCGGUAGGAGAGACUGAGGUCUGCAGUGUAGGCUAUUUGGCUAGAUACUCAGGUGCUAUGUGAUACCAUUUCAUAAACAACUUGUUGAUUAUGUUUUGUCUAUUGCAUACUCGCUUGUACUAUCAUACCUACGCUUAGGAUGUUGAGUAGCGACAUACGCAC
rnacentral:rRNA from 1 species